AUGGUCACCUCGGCAGCACAUAGUCUAACAUUGGAAUGACAUGGAGAAGAUUCGCAUGGCCUCUGUCCAAGGAUGACAUGCAAAUUCGUGAAGUGUUCCACAGUUUU